ACACCUCAACUCUUUAUGGUCUUCCAUGAUGAGCUUGGACUUUGGGGGGUUUUGCUGGCCUACAGUCAGCUCCUCUAAAAUGAAUCAGCUUGCCGGUGUUUGGUGGGUAUCAUGGGUGUGAUAACUAUCUACGCUCGUGGUUUUCCACCAGGUGUAACCUUCAGCAGUGGAGGUUCACUGGAAGCUCAUAGAUGUCUCUCCUCAGUGAGGACAGCCCUUUGAAU
rnacentral:misc_RNA from 1 species